rnacentral:rRNA from 1 species
GACGAACGCUGGCGGCGUGCUUAACACAUGCAAGUCGAACGGUGAAGCCCUUCGGGGUGGAUCAGUGGCGAACGGGUGAGUAACACGUGAGCAACCUGCCCCUGGCUCUGGGACAACCACUGGAAACGGUGGCUAAUACCAGAUACGACCCGCCUCGGCAUCGAGUGUGGGUGGAAAGUUUUUCGGCUGGGGAUGGGCUCGCGGCCUAUCAGCUUGUUGGUGAGGUGAAGGCUCACCAAGGCGACGACGGGUAGCCGGCCUGAGAGGGCGACCGGCCACACUGGGACUGAGACACGGCCCAGACUCCUACGGGAGGCAGCAGUGGGGAAUAUUGCACAAUGGGCGAAAGCCUGAUGCAGCGACGCCGCGUGAGGGAUGACGGCCUUCGGGUUGUAAACCUCUUUCAGCUCCGAAGAAGCGAAAGUGACGGUAGGAGCAGAAGAAGCACCGGCUAACUACGUG